UCUCUCGGAGUUCGAUGAUGACUGCGGAGGAUCAUUACUAAAUYAAAGGAUAGGCGGUGCCCCUGGAAGCUUGGUUCGUGGUGGGCUACUCUWCUUCGGUAGGGUUUAGAGUCCUCUAACCUCUCGGAAAAGUUCGGUCCUGAACUCCACCCUUGAAUAAAUUACCUUUGUUGCUUUGGCGGGCCUGCCUUGUGCCAGCGGCUUCGGCUGUUGAGUGCCCGCCGGAUGACCACAACUCUUGUUUUUUGUGAUGUCUGAGKACUAUAUAAUAGUUGAAAACUUUCAACAACGGAUCUCUUGGUUCUGGCAUCAAUGAAUAACGCGUUGGAAAUGCCAUAAAUAAUGUGAAUUGCAUGAAUUCAKCGAAUCCUCGAAUCUUUGAMCACACAUUGGGCCCUCUGGUAUUCCGGKGGGCUUGCCUGUUCGAUCGUCUUUAUAACCACUCAAGCUCUCGCUUGAUAUUGGGGCUCGCGGGUCCGCGGCCCCUACMMCCGAAGGCGGUGCCUGUCGGCUCUACGCAUAUGAUUACUCCUCGCGAUUGAAUCCGGUAUGUCUACUUGCCAUCAACCCCCAAUUUUUACAGGCUGACCUCGGAUCAGGUAGGGAUACUCGCUGAACUUAUGCAUAUCAAUAAACGGAGGACUA
rnacentral:rRNA from 1 species